rnacentral:rRNA from 1 species
AAGUAUAGCCAUAGAGGGUGAUAGUCCCGUAUGCGAAAAACAAACCUUAGCUAGCAGUAUCCUGAGUAGGGCGGGACACGAGAAAUCCUGUCUGAAGCUGGGUCGACCACGAUCCAACCCUAAAUACUAAUACCAGAUCGAUAGUGCACAAGUACCGUGAGGGAAAGGUGAAAAGAACUGAGGUGAUCAGAGUGAAAUAGAACCUGAAACCAUUUGCUUACAAUCAUUCAGAGCCCUAUGUAGCAAUACAGGGUGAUGGACUGCCUUUUGCAUAAUGAGCCUGCGAGUUGUGGUGUCUGGCAAGGUUAAGCAAACGCGAAGCCGUAGCGAAAGCGAGUCUGAAUAGGGCGCUUAGUCAGAUGCUGCAGACCCGAAACGAAGUGAUCUAUCCAUGAGCAAGUUGAAGCUAGUGUAAGAACUAGUGGAGGACUGAACCCAUAGGCGUUGAAAAGCCUCGGGAUGACUUGUGGAUAGGGGUGAAAGGCCAAUCAAACUUCGUGAUAGCUGGUUCUCUCCGAAAUAUAUUUAGGUAUAGCGUUGUGUCGUAAUAUAAGGGGGUAGAGCACUGAAUGGGCUAGGGCAUACACCAAUGUACCAAACCCUAUCAAACUCCGAAUACCUUAUAUGUAAUCACAGCAGUCAGGCGGCGAGUGAUAAAAUCCGUCGUCAAGAGGGAAACAACCCAGACUACCAGCUAAGGUCCCUAAAUCUUACUUAAGUGGAAAACGAUGUGAAGUUACUUAAACAACCAGGAGGUUGGCUUAGAAGCAGCCAUCCUUUAAAGAAAGCGUAAUAGCUCACUGGUCUAGUGAUUUUGCGCGGAAAAUAUAACGGGGCUAAAGUAA